rnacentral:rRNA from 1 species
GACGAACGCUGGCGGCGUGCCUAAUACAUGCAAGUAGAACGCUGAAGGAGGAGCUUGCUUCUCCGGAUGAGUUGCGAACGGGUGAGUAACGCGUAGGUAACCUGCCUGGUAGCGGGGGAUAACUAUUGGAAACGAUAGCUAAUACCGCAUAAGAGUAGAUGUUGCAUGACAUUUGCUUAAAAGGUGCAAUUGCAUCACUACCAGAUGGACCUGCGUUGUAUUAGCUAGUUGGUGGGGUAACGGCUCACCAAGGCGACGAUACAUAGCUGACCUGAGAGGGUGAUCGGCCACACUGGGACUGAGACACGGCCCAGACUCCUACGGGAGGCAGCAGUAGGGAAUCUUCGGCAAUGGACGGAAGUCUGACCGAGCAACGCCGCGUGAGUGAAGAAGGUUUUCGGAUCGUAAAGCUCUGUUGUAAGAGAAGAACGAGUGUGAGAGUGGAAAGUUCACACUGUGACGGUAUCUUACCAGAAAGGGACGGCUAACUACGUG